rnacentral:lncRNA from 7 species
UCCUGACUGCAAAGGGGUGUUCAGGGUACCAUAGGUGAUAAACCUCCGUGGCAGAACCAAGGCAUGGGGCACUGCCUCGGUCUCAUGUGGGACUCAUCACAAGUGGCUGCAGAGAGACAGGACCAGUUUUCGCAUUGCUAAGCCAGCUGCUGCUCAUCCCAUCUGUCUGCAAAAGGAAGCGUUGACUUCUUAAUAAGGCUGUAGACAAACCAAACCUUGGAAGCAGCCUCCCAAAUCUGGGGUCAGUCAGGUCAAUGACAACAGGGCAUACCAAGCAACUCCCAGCCUGGCUAGGAUGCAAAGAAGAAAAAGUCAUGAUUUGAGAGUCAUGUUUCUUCAAAGCAGGAUCCUCCUUCAGCUCUGGAACAGACAGCUUCGAUGGAAGUUCCAUUUACUAUUUAAACUCCUAUGUUCUUCUUAACUGAAGACAUUCCACGUGUUGUCUUAUCAAAGUCUCGACUGAACUAUGGACAUUUGGGAUCAGCUUCACUUCCUUUAUUUGUUCCUGUUCAUGGCAUGGGAGUUGAACUGGAUGACAUUUAUCGGUCCCUUUCAACUCAACAGAUUCUAUGAUUCUAUCUAAAAAUAUCUCACUUUGACUGCUAUUCUUGUCUCACAAAGACACAAAUAUCACAGAAAGUUCAUUUUUGUAUUGUUAUUGAAUCCUCUGAUCAAUUACUUCUUCACCAUUUUUAAUGGAAACCCCAACAGGUGUGUUGUUUUGCUUUAAUAUACCUUACACGGAAUGCUUUCUUUCUCUAAUCCAUGCCACUGGUUGCAUUUCUUAUUCCUAUAUCCUCUUUUUAUUGGCAUAGCUGAAAAAGUUCCUACUUUCUAUUUUAAUAACUUUCAUCAGGGUCUUGACAGUGCAUGCUUUCCCCAAAGCCUGGCUGAUCAGUCUAUUUUACUGUUGUUAUAUAUAUAUUUUUUAAUUUAUUCUUUCAAGAUACCCUGAUUAUUUCUAUUCUACAGGAUUUUCUUCAUCUGGUUUCAUGUUCCUUUUCCAUGAGAUUCAGAUUUUUCAUAUUCAGAACAGUCUAGCCUUCUGCUGCUGUUCCUUACCAAUGUGUUGGGUUCAUUGUGGUCAGUUAAGAACUGCAAACGUUUGUGUGCUGAUGAAGGGGUUGGGGUACAAACUGGAAGACCUUGAAUUGUGUGUUAAGAGUACAAAAUGAAACGUUAAAAUUAUUUAGUAAAGUUGGUAGAAAAACAGAGCGGGAAGUUCUGUUCCUAAGGAAGGACAGAGAUAAAGGGGAAAAAAAAGGAAAAUAUUUACUGUAUAUACUUUAAAGGUGUGACAGGCUGGAAAGAAAUGAAAAUGGAUUUCUCUUUUGUCAAACUAACUUGAUAGGAAGCACAGCAGGAGGGACAGAGCCUGUUCUCAAUAGACACUGAGGUGUAGACUUGGAAGGAGACAGUAGAUUCUGCAGGAUUACAAGACAAAGUUUUUGGAAGAGCCACGUUGUUAUGUAAGCACUGAGUUUCGUGUCUCUCUACCUACCUACCUAACUGUGUGUUCAGGAACUUGUUCCUAGAUGUGAUCACUGAAAGGUUUCAUCAUGAAAAUGUCAUUCAGCAUAUUCACUUCUUGCAAGGAAGUGCUGUACACAAACAGCCACAGUAGAGUUGAACGGUGAGGAAAACUUUAUUGAGAAAGUUCUUUGCUUCCUCAUCAUCUCAUGUGUUUUGCAAGUAUAUACUGGUUUAUGACUGUAUAGUUCAGUCAUACAUAAAUUAUCCUGAAAGACAAUAACACUAUUAUAUUCUAGCAAUACAUUGCUUUCAAGUGACCCCUUUACAUCCCUGUUUCAAUCCUAACUUGGAAAUCCUUUUACUUGCUAGACAUAAAUUCCCAGCCCUGCGCAGCCACAAGCUCUUUGUUUAGAAGAUAAAGGAAUGAAUCACUUUAGAAAUGCUCAAGUGGUUUACAAUAUGCAAUGAAAAAUAGACAUUGUGUU